rnacentral:rRNA from 1 species
UACGAAGGGGGCUAGCGUUGCUCGGAAUCACUGGGCGUAAAGGGUGCGUAGGCGGGUCUUCAAGUCGGGGGUGAAAGCCUGUGGCUCAACCACAGAAUUGCCUUCGAUACUGUUUGGCUUGAGUAUGGUAGAGGUCAGUGGAACUGCGAGUGUAGAGGUGAAAUUCGUAGAUAUUCGCAAGAACACCAGUGGCGAAGGCGGCUGACUGGACCAUUACUGACGCUGAGGCGCGAAAGCGUGGGGAGCAAACAGG